rnacentral:rRNA from 1 species
GACGAACGCUGGCGGCGUGCUUAAUACAUGCAAGUCAACGACUUUUGGGGUAGCAAUAUUUCAAGGGGAGUGGCGCACGGGUGAGUAACACGUAGGUAAUCUACCUUCAGGACUGACACAACUCGUCGAAAGACGGGCUAAUAUCAGAUAAAACAGCAGCUUGGCAUCAAGAUUGCUGUUAAAGUACAAGCGCCUGAAGAUGAGCCUGCGGUCCAUUAGGUAGUUGGUAGAGUAAAAGCCUACCAAGCCAACGAUGGGUAGCUGGUCUGAGAGGAUGAUCAGCCACACUGGAACUGAGACACGGUCCAGACACCUACGGGAGGCAG